CCAAACCCAGGACAACAGUGGAGCAUUGACAGCAGAGGCCAGUGAACAUCAGGGUAUUUAUCUUGUAGACAGAUCAUGCCAGAGAGAAGAAAACUAAAUACUGAAGAGCUCUCCCAUCACAGUGUGAGAUCAAUCAGGGAGGGACAAGGCCCUAGUCUCCAGGAGCAUGAGAAUGAAAAAUGAACUGGCAAGAUUUUAGCUCACACAGAAGACUAUAUGUUACUGUAAGCCUGGAGAGAUUUGGCAGUCAAGUCUCAGGGCAGGUCACUAGGGCUCAUUUUGCUCCACAAGCUGUGAAACUCCUCAGAACUGUGCCAGGCCAUAGUGGGGUGUUGCCUGUUGUGGGUUCUGGCCAGGCAGAGCUGACUAAUGUUUUACAGCAACUGGGAGAACCAGGACAUCACCCCCUACGUUGGGGCUCUUCUGGUGAGAGUUGGGCCUCUGACACUAAAGCCACUCCAUCGUUAGUCACCAUAGAGAUACUGCAGCACAGCCAUGACAAACAUCUGAACUCAGGGAUCCAAGGAAGUGCCUUUGUAAGUACAACAGAUAGUGUAUGGCCAAAGAAAAAUCCCUGGCCACCAAUAGAGACCCAUGGAAAAGAAAGGGCAAUAGCUUUUCCAUACAGGGUGAAAAUGCGAGAAAAAAACCUUCAAAGCCUUCCACUACAAAGCCACAAGGACUUGUUGAAGGACAUAGUCACAGGGGAUGGCAACAUGUCACUAAGCAGGGGAUCAAGAGCAGCAUCUCAAUACCCUGAACUUGAUUUUCUUGAAGAACAUGUCCUGAGGGGAAGAAACAUCAAGCCCAAGAAAAAGGAAUUGCUUCAGGCAACAUUGCCAAUUUGCAGACUAGAGAGGAGACAUGAAGAAAUACAGACAUCAAAGCAGGAGAAGAUGAAAAGCAAGAGAGUCAACUCAAGGGAGGCCUGGAUUCAGUUAUUUCCUAAAAAGCCAUUCUUGGGGCAAAAGCCAAAGGACCUGGGUCCAUUGCUUAUGGAAGGAGCAAGUCUGCAGCACAAGGAAAAGAGCCAGGCAUUGGAGCUGUCAUCCAAAGACCAUCGUUUGAAGUCAAGCCCCAGACUACACAGACAGAACCUACAGUCAGCUCAGGAUGACAGCGAUAAGGAGACCCCAGGAGAAGGAUCCAAAACGGAGAGAAGAAAGCUGAGGACAGAGUGGUGGGAUCCCACAGUCUGGGGUGACCCAGUCAAACUUGUUGAGCGUGAACAAUCUCUUCGAAAGAUCUGCUCUGAAGUCCACAGUGACCAGAGGAAGUUGAGCUUUCCCAUGGGCAGAUCAAGUUAUAAAGACAUAAUUCCCACAGGCAGAUCAAGCUAUUAAAACCCUGUUUUUCUGCUUCAAGAACAUUAAAGGUCUCCAUGAUGGCCCUGAGGCUGUGGUUUCUGGCCAGGGCAAUAGCCUGCUCAAAUCCAAAGGCCUCCCAGACAACCCCUACAGGGCUCCCUAGAUCGCUCCUCUUCUGGCUGGCCCUCCUGAGACUAUGGCCAUCAUCCCUCUAGGGAAUUUCCUGGGACAUCACACUGGUCUUCAGCUCUCAACGUAGCUCACACCUGUUCUUGCUUCUCUCAUUCCUUCUGAGCCCUCUAUCAAAUUCCCACUGUGGCCUGUGGUGGAUUCUGCAGUCUUGCGCGCACCGGACUCGACCAGCAAGAACGACGCUGCAACAGGAUCCUUCUGCACACGUUUAUUGGGAGAGCUUGAUUGCAGAGGCGAAAAGACCUCGAGCCCAGAACUGGUGCUGCUUUUAUAGGCCUAGGAGAGGCGUGUCUCAUACCCGGAUUGGUUAUGCACUAAGCCUCAUUUGCAUGUUCCUCAUCUGAUUGGCUACUCUCUCUCAGUACCUCACAGAUCCUCAUUAUCAUACCUCAUUUGCAUGUCUCACAUCCGAUUGGUUACUCUCUUAGUACCUUACAGAACCUCAUUCUCAUAUCUCAUUUGCAUGUCUCACAUCUGAUUGGUUAUACUCUCAGUACCUUACAGAACCUCAUUAUCAUGCCUGGGCCAGGCAGUGUUUUUGCAAAAAACUUUACUGCAUAUGUACACAUUGGUUGUUUGUCCAAUCUUAUGCGUGGUGGCCAGCAGUAGUCAGUGCCACUCUGCAACGGCACAUGUGGCUUCCCACAUCUCCCCCUGUUUGUUUUAAUAAAAAGAGGCUGGACUAGGCCUGUGCAAUUAUGCCCAUC
rnacentral:lncRNA from 1 species